GAUGAACGCGGCGGCGUGCUUAACACAUGCAAGUCGAACGAUGAAGCCCAGCUUGCUGGGUGGAUUAGUGGCGAACGGGUGAGUAACACGUGAGUAACCUGCCCUUGACUCUGGGAUAAGCCCGGGAAACUGGGUCUAAUACCGGAUAGGAGCACCUGUCGCAUGACGGGUGUUGGAAAGAUUUUUCGGUCAUGGAUGGACUCGCGGCCUAUCAGCUUGUUGGUGAGGUAAUGGCUCACCAAGGCGGCGACGGGUAGCCGGCCUGAGAGGGUGACCGGCCACACUGGGACUGAGACACGGCCCAGACUCCUACGGGAGGCAGCAGUGGGGAAUAUUGCACAAUGGGCGGAAGCCUGAUGCAGCGACGCCGCGUGAGGGAUGACGGCCUUCGGGUUGUAAACCUCUUUCAGUAGGGAAGAAGCGAAAGUGACGUACCUGCAGAAGAG
rnacentral:rRNA from 1 species